rnacentral:lncRNA from 10 species
GUGAAAGUUCAUUUCCUGCCUUUUCCUCCCUAAGGGUGGUGUGUUGAAAUGGUGUUUUCAGACACCAACCAGCACAGAAAAGGGCACUCUAAAAUCAAACCAAAUCAAAUAAAAUCAAAUCACAAAACAAACAUACAAAGAAACAAACAAAACUAAACUCUUCAUUAGAGUUUUAUUUGGGAUAUUAAACUCUUCUUUUCAUUACAAGAUCCCUAGGGGACUUGUGUAUUAUUUACACCUUUGUUUUAAAGUAUAUAAAUCAGAGUAUCAGAUCACUGCCCAGGCUGAUGCAGCACUCAGGUUACGGGGGGAGAUUAUUUUGGGAAUAAGGAAGAUGGGAAGAGGAAAGAGGGAAGGUGGGGUUUCCUGCCCAUCGAGAAUCUAGGGAGGAUGCUGGUGUUUUCAUCUGCCCAGCACCCAUUCCUCCUCCUGGCAGUCCUUGGGGAACUAUCCCUAACCCCUACCUCCCUCCUCCCUGUCCCUUUCCCCGCUCAAGCUCCAAAGGCAGGCACAGGGCAGUAGAGUGUCUGGUCUUAGGCCUUAAAGACAUAACUGGGAAGAAACAUACGAAUACAGAUUGGCAGAAUUCUUAAAUUAUUAUCUAAGAUUCAAACAGGCCUUCCUUUACUUUAAAAGAAAAUAAUUGAAAUACUUUACCUAGAUGUAAAUAUUUGAGUGAAAGGGAACUCAGUAAAUUGAGUAGGAUGGUUACAGUGAUUUCUCUCUAUGUUAAAAAGAUUGCAAUGAAACUAGAACAUACAUUGGGCUAUGGCUAAACAGGCGAAGUGGGGUGAAAAAUCCCAAGCAUGCUUUUGGAACUAGCUGAAUUAGCCAGGGGCGAGAUAGGAGCAGGCAUCAUCUUCAUAGUUUUCUUCCUCUGGUCAUUUUAACUGGCACUCAUGAGUGGAAAUAUUACAGAAAAAAAAUCACCUUUACAAAUUAGUUGGAACCAAAUUAAUUCUGUAAAAGAUCAUUUCUGGGAGUAAACAGAAAGCAUUGACGAAUAGCACCUAGUCUGAACACUCAUGGUUUACUUACUAGUUGCUUUUAUUGCAUUUAUUUAGAGCCUUGGUGAACUCCCUUAGUUUGUCAUCUAGAAUGAACGAACACAAUCAAAUCAUGAUCCAAUUCAGCAUUCCUAAGAGCUCACCACCCUCCAGGUGUGGUUCUGACAGCACCGAGUGCCUGCUUACCUCAUUCCCGUGCACCAAACCAAGCAUUGCCCGGUGGUGUGGGGCAGUGGACAGCAAGAAACCAGGGCUUGGAAGACUUCUAUGCUGACCCCGGUCUAGUCACUUACCAGCUUUAUGACACUGGAAAAGUCAAUUAAUCUUCCUGAGCCUCAGUUUUCUCACUUGUAAAGUGGGGAUAAUAAUAUAUGCUGCGUGCACCUCAAAGGGUUAUGGGGAGGAUCAACGCCAGAACACACAUAAAUGCGUUUUGUAACCUGUGAAUCAUCAUUUAAACAUAAGAUUCUCUUAAUAAUGCAACCAUGAUUGUGAUAAUGAUUUGGGGAACCGUGUCAUACUUGUGGCAACUGAAGCCUCUGGAGUUUUGCACGUGACCUACUGGCAGGUGACUCACUCUCUUCUCACACUUGGUGCGAUGGAUGUUUUGGAGAUCUGCACGGGUCUUUAAGUUGUGUCGAAUUCCAUGCCAUUGGUGUCAAGCUAGGGUUCCAGCAUUUUGAGAUAAUUUUGGAUUGGGUUGUGCCAAUCCCUGUAUUGUUUAUCCUUCUAACUGUGUCAUCUACACAGUUGAUCUCCCCGUCUCCUCUAUUUUUCCAAGUUAUAGAUUGAAAUGUUAACCAACACAGGGCCAAAGAAAGUCUUGCUCCUCUCUACUAGAGACCACUUUAAGGUUGUCUAGAAACACACAAAAGUGGCAGCAGUCACUCCUCUUUGCUGCCAAUUGUUCAGCCGGUUAUGUAAGUUGUGUCUUCCCUUCAUGCCAAUCUUCUUCCACUGCCUAACUACAGCCUUGUUCUCUUCAGAUAGGCCUUGCUCUCUUUCCUUCUAAAUUUACUCUUUUUCAAGUUUGCCAAUAACCUCUUGAUCCCUAAAUCCAGAAGCCCAUACCGCUCCACCUGCUCCAGCUCUUUAAAAGCAUUUGACAGCUCUUCCUCUGGAACAUCUCCCUCCUUGGCUUCUCCUUGGUUUCUCAAUGGCUGCCAUUUUCUCUGCUGAGCUCCCUGAUGGCACCCUCAGGCCUCCUUUGUAGGUCCUCUUCUGGCCUUAGGUACUAGAGAGCAGCAUUUCUCAGCUUGACACGAUUCACUUUUCAAACUUGAUAACUCUUUGUUGUGGGAGCUGUUUUGUGCAUUGUGAGAUGUUUAGCAGCAUCCUUGGCUUCUACUCAAUGGACACCAGUAGCACCCCUUCCCCUCAACCAAAAAUGUCUCCAGACAUUGUCAACUGCCUCUUGCGGGGGAAGAGGGGCAAAGUCGCCUUCCCCAGCCCCACUUUGAGAAUCACUGCUACAGAGUAAACCAACUACUAACUUAACCAGGCCUCCAACUCCACCCUGGGUCUGGGCUUAGUUUACAUCUGCAGUGAAACAUGUUCAUAUUAGAAUUUCGUUUGCAACUUUUAGGCCAGUUAAUUGCUCAUGACUCAUAGCUUUGAUAUCCCUGGUCCCUGCCCCAAAGGUAAACCCAAAGAUUCUCCCCUCUCCUUUAUUCUAUCUCCACACUGCCCAGUGCUACUUCGACUCUGACCUAGCUUCUGCCCUUCUCUUUCCUUCUGAGCCUUUCCUCUGUCCUCCUUUGAGCUCUUGUUCAAAGUAAAGAAACUUUGCCACCUCCUUAAGCUCUUUCCAGAUGCUGCCUCCGGGUCCUAGUGUCCCAUCUCCAGUUCUCAUGGGUGGAAAUUGCUCACUGCCCCACACGCUGUGACGUGGAUGGACAUUCUUCACACUCCCUGCUGUCAAUUCCACGUCAUGACUUUUGCAAUCCUUGAUCAGUUUCCAUUCCUUUGAAUCUCAUGUCAUUUAGAUAAUUUAUUUUUAAAACCAUAGGUUUUGGCUGGCAUUUCAUUUUAAUGAAAUAGGAUAGAGCAGAAAAUAGAUUUUAUUGCAGAUAAUAAGGGUAAAGUGCUGUUUUGAGGAACUUGAGUUUCAGAUAUACACACACAUAUGUGCAAAUGAGUACAUGUGCAUGUCCUGAGUUGUGAUAUAAAAGGCAUUUCUUUCUGUGGACUAUGGUUUAAGAAGCUUGAAAAUCAGUGAUCCAGAUAGAUCUUUGGUUCCUUCUGACCCUCUGAACUUCUAACUUAUUAUGACUAUUAUCUGGCACUUUGCUGAAGUCUUCUUUUCCACUUCAAGUCCUCCUACCAGACUGUGUGGCAACUAAGUCCACAUGGCUGACAGGGUGAACACCCAAGCCCCCAGUUCCUUGACCUCAACUCCAGUGACAGUCCUGCCUCUCAUCUACUUCAACUAUGAAAUUAUAUCCCAGAAGCCUCUACCCUCAAAGUCCUUUCUCCUGGCCCUCACACAUCUUUUAGCAGGCAGGGGCUUGGACUGACACAAAGGUUUUAUGUAGCCUGGGCUAUGACCGGGUUUUGCUGUGGCGGUGUCUGGCGCUCUCAUCUGGGAAGCCAGUUGCCUUUCCUUUCUGCAGAGGAAGGACUUGAGGAAAGAGCUGAAGGCUGCCUCUCCCAGAGUGCAGGCCACAUGCACUGUGGCUCACAGUACCUGGGAAGCCCAUGCCACCCUGGGUCUGCUUUGCUUCCUGCCUGCUCAGGGCUUCCUGUCACCUGCCAUAGUCAGGUCAGGUCUUCCCGAACGACAGUUUCUGGAAGUCAGAGGUUCUUUCUUUCUAUCCACACAUAGAUGACAUUUUUUUAGGUUCUUUGAUCUUCAGACAUUGUCCAAAGGAGAUUGGACAGGGGUCACUAUUCAGGGAGUUAUUUUCAGUGUCCUCUUAGAGGCAUUUGCUUCUUGUCCCAAGAAGAGGUCCCUACUUCCCCAAGAAACCAUCUCGGGGGCUUGUGGUGCAGCAGCCCUCUUAGGGGUGCCUUGGUUCAGAUAUGAAGAACGUGUUCAUAAGCCCAAUGUCUGCCUUAGAAGCUCUCUGUGUGGGUUAAUAAUAUUAAUGUGUAUUUCAAAGCUUCCAAAGCAAAUAUGGAAAUUACAUUCAAUCUGUGACCCCAGAUAACAGAAGCAAUGACUCUCAUUUCCUAAAGAAUAGAGACUCCUCAGCACGGUCUUUUCUUUUUUCUUUCUUUUUUUUUUUUAAUUUAAUUUGAGACAAGGUCUCACUCUGUUGCCCAGCCUGGAGUGUGGUGGUGCAAUCACAGUUCACUGCAGCCUCAGCCUCCUGGGCUCAAGUCAUCCUCCUGCCUCAGCUUCCCAAAUAGCUGGGACUACCGGUGCAUGCCACCAUGCCCAGCUAAUUUUUUAAAUUUUUUGUAGAGACGAGGUCUUGUCCUGUUGCCCAGGUUGGUCUUGAACUCUUGGGCGCAAGCUAUCCGCCUGCCUUAGCCUCCCACAGUGCUAGGAUUACAGGCGUGAGCCACUGCGCCCAGACAGCAGGGUCUUUUGUUUGUGGCUCACCAAACUCUUUCUCAACUGCAUCCCCUGUGAUGUUGCUCCGGGCAUCUUACCCUCUGCACUGGCCAGCUGCACCUUCCUGAACACGUGCUGCCAUUCCCCGCUCUCAGCCCUUGCUUGUGUUAUUGCUUCAGCCUGGAAGCCCCCUUCUCCCUAUUCCUUGCCUCCCAAUCCUCCCCUAAAUGCCAGUUUUUUAGUGGCAUGUUCUCUAGGCAACUUGAUUAGGAGGCUCUGUUUCACACUCUCGCAGCACGCUGCUCUUACCCCCUGUGCUCCUCUGAUUCUACCUUGUGCUGUGAUUAGUUACUAUCAGGCCGUGUUCUCCCUAGAUUGCAGGUUCCCACGGGCAGGUGUGUGGUUGUAGCUCAGCCCCUCCUCAAGCUGCAUGCUAUCAUCAGUGAUGACUCAAGCUGCAUUUCUCUAAAAUAAAAGCAAGAUGUUUCCAAAUAACUAUAUUCUUGAAAUCAUCAUUCAACUUAACAAAUGCAAAUUCUGCCUUUUUAGUCUUCUUUUCUUGCCAGACUUACAUUCACUAGGUUUAGCUAUUGGUAGAGCCAUGCAAACAACAAAGACCCUUGGAACUGAGGGUCUGCUGAACUGAGUGGGUGAAGCCAGGGCUGAAGCCUGCACCAGGGUGUUCAGCUGUGGUUAACCAGCUGGGCAUGCCCAUGAAUGCUGACCGACACCAGGUGAAUUGUCCUCGGGGAAAAUCUGGGAAACCUAGGUGAAAGCUAUAGUCCAGUAAAUCCUUCUGCAAUAAGGAUUUAGCAAAGGUAUUUGGGUGGCCAUGUAGAAAUAGAGCUGAGUUAAAUGCAAAGCUUCUUUAUAAUUCGAACGUAUCCUAUUAGCAAAAGAUAAUAGGGGUCAAUCUUUUCUUCUGUCUGUUGCAGCAGCGUUUCUCACUAUAGCGCCUAUGCACAACUGUCUCUUCAGUGCUUCCUGAUCAGGAAUGCACUACCCAGAGUGGCAUAGAAAGGAUUCAGGAAGUGCUGGGAUUAAAACUCACAGUGCAGGGAAUUUCUUCUGUAAAACUGCCUGGAGCCCCAGCGUCUCCUUUUCCACAUUUAUCCCACAAUAGAUGUGCUUUCUAAAUAGAAGUCACCAUAGAGACCCAGAGAUACAUGUAUCCCCACAUGUUCUAAAACUUGAUAGGAAAAAUCCGACACACCACAAAUAUAUAAUGAUCCUAUGAAGUAUCAAGUGAUACGCUGCAGAAGUACAGAUAACGAUGCUCGAGAGGUUACUUCCAGGUUCCAGCAUUUUUAUAUUAAUGUCCUUGCCUCUGCCCUCUCCUGUGUCAGACAUUCAUCUUUAAAUUAAGUUGGGCUAUGACAGCAUCCCACAACUGACACAUGGACCAAGAUAUUACAGCUCAAAUACCAUCAGUCAUCAAAACCUCCCUAAGAAUAAUAUAGUUUCAGUGCAAGUCUCACAGCCACCUCACCUUCACCUUUCCCUAAUAACUCCAAUGACAAUACUUUGGGUGACAGGAAAGAAUUCCAUCCCAAAGGAUGGUCACUCAAAAUCAAAUAGCAAAGUAUACUUUGCCCUCUUCAGCAGGUUUCCCCGAAGGCUGGCAGGAGCUCUGUACCUGGGGAGAGAAGUAAUUUUCCCCCAUUUCUCUAUGCAGAAGCGCCGAAGCCCAUUGCUCCCACGGAGGGCUGCGAAGCCUUCGUAGGGCACGCUGGAUGUUCCCGUGACAAACUGCAGUAAUCUCAGCCUCUGCUCAUUAUUGAAGCGCUCCACCGCAGCCCAGAACCAGCGGAUCACAAGAUGCCCAUCGUGGUAACCUGCACGAGGCAAAGGGAGGGAGGAAGACAGGAUGUGGAGAAAAGAGGAAGGGGUGAGGAGGGAGAGAGAGAUCAAACACAUCAGCUCCUGCCCACUCACCUCCCCG